rnacentral:rRNA from 1 species
UCUACGGGUGGCAGCAGUGGGGAAUAUUGCACAAUGUGGGAAACCCUGAUGCAGCGACGCCGCGUGAGUGAAGAAGUAAUUCGUUGUGUCAAGCUCUAUCAGCAGGGAAGAAAAUGACGGUACUUGAGUAAGAAGCCGCGGCUAACUACGUGACAGCAGCCGCGGUAAUACGUAGGGGGCAAGCGUUAUCCGGAGUUACUGGGGGGAAAGGGAGCGUAGAGGGCAAGGCAAGUCUGGAGUGAAGGUCGGGGGCUCAACACCCGGACUGCUGUGGCAACUGUACGGCUGGAGUGCAGGAGAGGUAAGCGGAAUUCGGAGUGUAGCGGUGAAAUGCGUAGAUAUUAGGAGGAACACCAGUGGCGAAGGCGGCUUACUGGACUGUAACUGACGUUGAGGCUCGAAAGCGUGGGGAGCAAACAGGAUUAGAUACCCGUGUAGUC